rnacentral:rRNA from 1 species
AUUGAACGCUGGCGGCAGGCCUAACACAUGCAAGUCGAACGGUAACAGGAAGCAGCUUGCUGCUUUGCUGACGAGUGGCGGACGGGUGAGUAAUGUCUGGGAAACUGCCUGAUGGAGGGGGAUAACUACUGGAAACGGUAGCUAAUACCGCAUAACGUCGCAAGACCAAAGAGGGGGACCUUAGGGCCUCUUGCCAUCGGAUGUGCCCAGAUGGGAUUAGCUAGUAGGUGGGGUAACGGCUCACCUAGGCGACGAUCCCUAGCUGGUCUGAGAGGAUGACCAGCCACACUGGAACUGAGACACGGUCCAGACUCCUACGGGAGGCAGCAGUGGGGAAUAUUGCACAAUGGGCGCAAGCCUGAUGAAGCCAUGCCGCGUGUAUGAAGAAGGCCUUCGGGUUGUAAAGUACUUUCGGCGGGGAGGAAGGGAGUAAAGUUAAUACCUUUGCUCAUUGACGUUACCCGCAGAAGAAGCACCGGCUAACUCCGUG